rnacentral:rRNA from 1 species
AAGGGAAUCUUCCGCAAUGGGCGAAAGCCUGACGGAGCAACGCCGCGUGAGUGAUGAAGGUCUUCGGAUCGUAAAACUCUGUUAUUAGGGAAGAACAAAUGUGUAAGUAACUAUGCACAUCUUGACGGUACCUAAUCAGAAAGCCACGGCUAACUACGUGCCAGCAGCCGCGGUAAUACGUAGGUGGCAAGCGUUAUCCGGAAUUAUUGGGCGUAAAGCGGGCGUAGGCAGUUUUUUAAGUCUGAUGUGAAAGCCCACGGCUCAACCGUGGAGGGUCAUUGGUAACUGGAAAACUUGAGUGCAGAAGAGGGAAGUGGAAUUCCAUGUGUAGCGGUGAAGUGCGCAGAGAUAUGGAGGAACGCCAGUGGCGAAGGCGACUUUCUGGUCUGUAACUGACACUGAUGUGCGAAAGCGUGGGGAUCAAACAGG